ACAUAGAUAUGAAUGUUGCAACUGAAAUGCAUAUUGGUUGCUCUAAAAGUGCAAUACUGAAUUUGAUCUUUUAUUUGACUUUUUUUUCUUGACAUUGUUGUAUUUCCAUGUUUGUGAUACUGUUUGCAUCUCUUCUUUUCCAUUUUGCUCACUCGUUUUAGAAUUUGCUAAUAAUCUUCCACAAUCUGGAGGUGCUGUUUCUCUUAGAAAAAUUGGUAUUUGCCCUGUAAAGGUAACUUAUUGUCUACUUAUCUUACACAAUAUCGAUCACAGACACCCGCCCUGAGUCCAUUCAUAAAGGAUUUAAUCUGCUUUUCUAUGAGUUCAUGUUUGAUUAUAUGCUUCCUUGGAUAAUUGUAUGUUGUGACUGCAAAUCUUUGGAACUGUUAUACCUGUGGAUUAUAUGCUUCCUUGGAUAAUUGUAUAGUCUUAUAGUUAUCAUGCAGCUUAUCAUGUGAAAAUGUUAGAAGAAUAUGUGAACUAUGAUUUUCUGAGACAACAUAUUGUUUAGGGUAAAGCAUUCCUCAUGGAUCCAGAUCCUCUUUGAUGUUGGGUAGAGAUGAUCAUAUUAUUCAUACAUAUCAAAUGUCAUGAAUUGCUACUUUGGAUUAUGGAACCGACGCAAAAAUAGUGAGAUUAAUCACCUUAUCAAAAAUUUGAGAUUCAUCAAAUCCUUAGAUGAUUCUCUUUAUAGAUAUAUGGCUAUACAUAUUGAGAAUGAGCAGUAUUCUCAUAUCAGAUGAGGUUGUUCAAGUUGCACUUCUGGCUUUACAUUGAUAGAGAAUCAUUCCACGAGUGAUGGAAAAAAACAGAAUUAUUUGUAGUACUGCAAGUUAGGGGAGAUAGUAGUUAAAAGGUAAAAGGUUCCAUGUGAAUAGCUGUUACUGAAUCAAAAAUUAAUGUAGAAACAAGUAUAAAACAUUGAUAGAACAUGCAAUUAACAGUUAGUGACUGCUUCCUGCAUUGUCACACUAGCAAGAAGGUCCAGGUAAUUGUUGCUUUGUUGUACUCUAUGUUGAUGCAGAAUUGCUAUCUUCUCUGUUUGCAAGUUGCUGUAUUCAAAUUUAUAUAGGCGGAGAGAAAUAAGAAAAGCAAAAAACAUGAAGAUAGCCAUUAUCUUUUACCUUUGUUGGAAUAAGAAAAUCCUUAUAUAACUCUUAGAUAAACUUGGUUAUCAGAUCAUGCCAAAUAACAGCCUGUUUUGCUAUUUUGGCAGCCAUUAAACGGUUGACAAAGGCAAUGUACUGGAAGUUCUUUCAAUUACCACGGUCAUGGGAACUUUUGGCCAACUACAUGGUGUAUUUGGGUGGAAAUUACCUACCUGGUAAAUUAACUCUUGCUUAGGGUUCAGCACUUUCUAUACAUCCUAUCCAGUAACCUGUAACCUAGAUUUGUUGCUUCCUGGCAAGUAUUCAACUGAAUAUAAUCUUCCGAAAGAAUCUGCUGUGUAUCUGCUUAAGUUGACAGCAAAAUACAUAAAUAAGAGUCUACUGCAAAUUCUCUUCUGAUUGGGUGAUCUGUACUGCAACUAUCUCUUCAUCUUUGAUCUUUGUUCCUAAAUAAUUUCUUCCGGUGAGGUAAUCAUCUUGACUUUAGGCAGUUCAGAUUAGUGAUGAGAUUUCUAUUUGCAAAAUGAGAUUUUGUCAGGAGAUGGUGCCCCAAGGUCAUAGAAGUACCCUAUCUUACAUCAUCAGAGAUGCAUGCUUUUUGUUGUCUUUGUAAUUUCAUUGUAUUGUUGCCUGCCACUAGUCUAUCUGGUGUUCCUGUGUAUUGAUUAAGACAGGGCGGCUUGCAAGGAUCAUUCAAGUUAUAAAGAUGGUGAUCAAUGCUUUAGCUGCUUUUGCAAUGAUUUGGAUAUGGUAUGUGACUGGAGCUGCAACUUAUUCAACACCUUGAUGAUGAGACCUUAAACUUGUUAUCUUUCAAUUCUAAUAUUGCAUGUUAAAAGAUUUUUAUUUGAGCUCAUUCUCCUAUGGCCAUCGUUGGGGUUAUAUGUAUGCUGAUUGCUGGGUGAUCAGUGCUUUAGCUGCUUGUAUACUGCUUGUAGUAUGUUGUGUUUGCAUUUUUAACUGUCGGUCUUUCACCAACUUAUGAUUCAUGGCUGAAAUGUAGAGAUCUGGCUUUAUGGCUUUUAAACAAUUUUGCAUGAUUACCUUCUCUUUUUCAUUGAUUGACUGACUGUUCUCUGAAAGAGAUUGCACAAAGCUGUCCUGGAUUACGCGCUAUUGACCUGAGCAACUUGCGUAAAUUGACAGACUUUGCAAUCGGUUAUCUUGUCACUGGUUGUAGAACAGUUGACAAGCUAAAACUCUCACAAUGCUUUCAGGUUUUCAAAAUACAUCAUUCAAUACAGAAUGCUUUCGAAGUGUAGCAUAUGUAGUGUCCUUAACCAUAAUCUUUUGCUUGCAAUAUUCGUCAUCAUUUUCUAUUGCUUUUUACUCUUUUCUUCAAUGUCGGUUGCUUAUGCCUUGAGAGCAAAUUUUUCAAAGAAUAUCACCAUACAUUGCUACAAAGGAGGGUUGUUUCUUCGCAUAAAAAGUUCUUCAUUUUGAAUAUUGAAAAGAUGUUUCAAAAUGCUUGGUUUCAAAUUUCCUUCUAAUAUUCCUUUUGGGGAGUGGUUGGCUGCCCAGAAUCAUCUAGGUAGAUAGUGCAUACAUUUUCUUUUGUAUUUUACUUUUAUUUUGCAAGUAAAAAUAGCAUAUCCAAUUUGCGGAGAUAUAACAGUCUUUUAUGCUUAUAGGAGUGGGUGCAUACGGCACAUUGUAAUUUGUAUAUAUAAGGAAAGUCUCAUUCUGUCAGAUUAUAUGAGCUGGAUUUGACAUCUAUGUUGCUCGGACCCUCCGAAAAUAUUGAUGGGUGCGUGUCAGAUCCUCCAAAAAUUAGUGUAUUUUUGGAGGAUCCGACACGGGUGCGGCAGCUGUUUUGGAGAGUCGGCACAACAUAUUGACAUAGCUCACACUUAACUCCUUUGAUGAAAUUUCUACCUUCAUCGAGCAUUGAUGAAGCUGUUGCUACCGGAAGAAAUUUCACUCAUUUUUGUGGUGCUGCACUGUUAGUAAUGGGAACAUGCAGAUUUUCUUUGCUUUCACUUCUAGGCCUCUUGUUUGCUCUUCAUGUUUUUCUGGGUACAUGGGAAUUUGAUAAUCGGAAAAGGUCAAUGAAUUUUUGCCUGACUAUAUGUCAAGGAAUCAAAGUUUUUCAAUGUCUUUAUAUGAUUUUUACAAGUUUCACACAACACUGCAACGUGACGGGUAAAGUUGCUGCCAUGUGACCAGAAGGUCACGGAUUCGAGUCGUGGAAACAACCUCUGGCAGAAAAUGCAAGGUAAGGCUGCGUACAAUAGGCCCUUAUGAUCCGGCUCUUCUCCGAGCCCCGCGCAUAACGGGAGCUUAGUGCACCGGGCUGCCCUUCACACAACACUGCAAUGUCACUAGCCAAAUGCUCAAAAAAUUUGAUUAGUCUGGAUUUGUCUUGGUGCCGCAACUUGACAAACGAAGCGCUGUACUCAGACUGCCAACAGGGAUUGGUGAAAGGCACCUGCUCCUACCACAGAGUCGAAGACAAAGGCUGUCUUUCUCGAUUAUGCAGAAAUAUAGGAAUUUCUUGUGCUUGUACAAUUUGAUUUUGUGUUGUGACUUUGAGUUCUUUCCUACACUCUAGGUUUCAUCAUAGGUCACCUUAUCGAGAUCCAUGCAUCUUAAGGUUUCAUCCGAACUGAAGAAAAGGGCACAAAAAUUUUGUUUCUUUGCCCUAGAUUGACCCUAAAAUCUGGAGAAUAAAAUCUAAAUUACUGUGAAAUAUCAGUGUUAUCAAAGGCGAAAAGCGCAAGAAAGCUUUAAGUUCUAUUAGGACUUUAAGCGCAAAGUGCAAAAUAAAGUGUGGGCUUUCAUGAAGAAAGACGCAGAUGGAGAAAAACUACAAAUAUGCAUGUUUAGUCCAAGACUAAUAUCUAUAAGCAUGAAUACCAAAUAUAUGGACAAAGAAAUUGAAAAAAAUAUUACGAUAAAGUGAAAUAUCAAUUGUUUAGUAUCGUCUCUUCAGGAUUAUGCUCAUUGGUAAGGAAAAGUAUGUCUUGGAGCAUUGAUGACAACACUAAAACGCCCGCUAGGUGAGGUGAAGCGCUCAACAUGUUUUGAGCCUCGCUUCAGGGAUUAAGCGCGCUUUAAGUGCGCCUUUGAUAACAAUGUGAAACAUCACAAAAUGCGUGUGCUCUCAAGGUUCCUGUUGUUUCUUUUGCUACGGUUAUUGUUGCUGCUUCCUUUUUAAUAUGUCCUUGAGCCGAGGGUCUAUCAGAAACAGCCUCUUUACCUUCACAAGAUAGGGGUAAUGUCUGCUUACACACUAUCCUCAUCGGACCCCUCUUAUGGGAUUACAUUGGGUUUGUUGUUGAUGUUGUUGUUGUCAUUCUAAUAGAGGUUUCAUAAUACAGGUUAUUUGUUAAAGUCAGUGGCUGAAAAUGCAAAUAGAUAUGAAACCAUUUUUGGUGGUAGGCGGUGUUGUAUUUGAUUGUUCAUCACUUAAGCUCAAAUGCAUAGGUAUGGGAGGCAUCAUA